AGUGAACGCUGGCGGUAGGCCUAACACAUGCAAGUCGAACGGCAGCACAGUAAGAGCUUGCUCUUACGGGUGGCGAGUGGCGGACGGGUGAGGAAUACAUCGGAAUCUACUUUUUCGUGGGGGAUAACGUAGGGAAACUUACGCUAAUACCGCAUACGACCUCCGGGUGAAAGCAGGGGAUCUUCGGACCUUGCGCGAUUGAAUGAGCCGAUGUCGGAUUAGCUAGUUGGCGGGGUAAAGGCCCACCAAGGCGGCGAUCCGUAGCUGGUCUGAGAGGAUGAACAACCACACUGGAACAGAGACACGGUCCAGACACCUACGGGAGGCAGCAGUGGAGAAUAUUGGACAAUGGGCGCAAGCCUGAUCCAGCCAUACCGCGUAGGUGAAGAAGGCCUUCGGGUUGUAAAGCCCUUUUGUUGGGAAAGAAAAGCAGCAGGUUAAUACCCCGCUGUUCUGACGGUACCCAAAGAAUAAGCACCGGCUAACUUCGUG
rnacentral:rRNA from 1 species